rnacentral:rRNA from 1 species
ACGCUGGCGGCGUGCCUAAUACAUGCAAGUCGUGCGGACCUUUAAAGCUUGCUUUAAAAGGUUAGCGGCGGACGGGUGAGUAACACGUGGGCAACCUGCCUGUAAGAUCGGGAUAACGCCGGGAAACCGGGGCUAAUACCGGAUAGUUUUUUCCUCCGCAUGGAGGAAAAAGGAAAGACGGCUUUUGCUGUCACUUACAGAUGGGCCCGCGGCGCAUUAGCCAGUUGGUGGGGUAACGGCUCACCGAGGCAACGAUGCGUAGCCGACCUGAGAGGGUGAUCGGCCACAUUGGGACUGAGACACGGCCCAAACUCCUACGGGAGGCAGCAGUAGGGAAUCUUCCGCAAUGGACGAAAGUCUGACGGAGCAACGCCGCGUGAGUGAAGAAGGCCUUCGGGUCGUAAAACUCUGUUGCCGGGGAAGAACAAGUGCCGUUCGAACAGGGCGGCGCCUUGACGGUACCCGGCCAGAAAGCCACGGCUAACUACGUGCCAGCAGCAGC